CGCAAGCACUCAAUUUGAAAAGCAGUGUUGAUAUAUAUAGAUUGAUAUAUAUAUAGUGUUGAUAUAUAUAAUCUAUAUAUAUCAACACUGCUUUUCAAAUUGAGUGCUUG